AGCCCACAGGUUGAGUUUCGCUUUCAUUUCCUGAAUGAGAUUUCCUUGCCAUCUCACCCCGCAGACAUCUGCAUCCAGCUCAUUGGCUUUCUUUAUCAGGAAAAAGAGUUCAGACUGAAUCGAUACGGCACACAAUGAAGUGGACUCCAGCGUAAAUUGGCUCACUUGGGAGACAGAAGGCGUCUCUUGCUCCAGAUACAACACCGCUUGCCCAUUGAUUAGAUGCCGAAUUGGCUGGGUUUGCACUUCCUGCAGACUUGGACCCCUCUGAGCGGCCACACAAUGGAGAUGGUUCGCGUGCCAGCCUCUACGCCUCUCCUGUCCCUGAACUGAAGCGAUUAAGAGUGAACAUGAAAAUGGUAUAAUGCCACACU